rnacentral:rRNA from 1 species
GAUGAACGCUGGCGGCGUGCCUAAUACAUGCAAGUCGAGCGAACAGAUGAGGAGCUUGCUCCUCUGACGUUAGCGGCGGACGGGUGAGUAACACGUGGAUAACCUACCUAUAAGACUGGGAUAACUUCGGGAAACCGGAGCUAAUACCGGAUAAUAUAUUGAACCGCAUGGUUCAAUAGUGAAAGACGGUUUUGCUGUCACUUAUAGAUGGAUCCGCGCCACAUUAGCUAGUUGGUAAGGUAACGGCUUACCAAGGCAACGAUGCGUAGCCGACCUGAGAGGGUGAUCGGCCACACUGGAACUGAGACACGGUCCAGACUCCUACGGGAGGCAGCAGUAGGGAAUCUUCCGCAAUGGGCGAAAGCCUGACGGAGCAACGCCGCGUGAGUGAUGAAGGUCUUCGGAUCGUAAAACUCUGUUAUUAGGGAAGAACAAAUGUGUAAGUAACUAUGCACGUCUUGACGGUACCUAAUCAGAAAGCCACGGCUAACUACGUG